UGACCACCCUGCAAGGGGUUUAGGCCAUACGGACAGCCGGGUCAACUGCCGA
rnacentral:sRNA from 1 species